rnacentral:rRNA from 1 species
UACAGAGGUCCCGAGCGUUGUUCGGAUUCAUUGGGCGUAAAGGGUGCGUAGGCGGUCUGCUAAGUUUGGUGUGAAAUCUCCCGGCUCAACUGGGAGGGUGCGCCGAAUACUGAGCGACUAGAGUGCGGGAGAGGAAAGUGGAAUUCCUGGUGUAGCGGUGAAAUGCGUAGAUAUCAGGAGGAACACCGAUGGCGAAGGCAGUUCUCUGGGCCGUAACUGACGCUGAGGAGCGAAAGCGUGGGGAGCGAACAGG